GCGAUUGGUAGUGCUGGUUUCGCUCCUCACCAGUUGUUGUUGCUGGUAUUUUGCUGCCUUCGCCGAAAUUGCUGAUCAUAGGAGCGAGGGGGAGAAAGAAGAAGCAGAAGAGAUAGAGACAAGGGAAGCGAUAGUGAGGCGACGCCGACACUGCUCAGCUCGCACGGCCACGCCUGGCUGCUUGCCGUAUGAAUGUAUAUACUAGCAUACAUCUAGUGCACCAAAUUUCUAGUUCU
rnacentral:misc_RNA from 1 species